CGCCUGUUUAUCAAAAACAUAGCCUUAAGAAAUGAUUUAAGGUAAGCCCUGCCCAGUGGAUAUGUUCUUAACGGCCGCAGUACCUUGACUGUGCUAAGGUAGCGUAAUCAAUUGGCUUUUAAAUGGAGUCCAGAAUGAACGGGGCCAUGGAGAGAGACUGUCUCCUUUUUGAUUAAUUAAACUUGCUUAAUAGGUGAAAAUACCUUUUUAAAGAAAAAAGACGAGAAGACCCUUAGAGCCUAACAAUAUAAUAUAUUUUAUUUGUUUUUGUUGGGGCGACAAGAAGACACACUUAAACUCUUCUCUUAUACUAAACGAUUAUAAUAUAAAAGAACAGGCUACCUUAGGGAUAACAGCAUAAUUAUUUUUAGUUUGUGACCUCGAUGUUGGACUAGGAACUUGAUGACUAGUCGUCAAUAAAGGAAAGUUCUGUUCGAACUACUUUUCCUACGUGAUCUGAGUUCAGACCGG
rnacentral:rRNA from 1 species